rnacentral:rRNA from 1 species
CAUGUGGAAUGGUACGUGGUAACUUCUGCUCAAUGAAAUAAAUAGCUGCAGUACCCUGACUGUGCUAAGGUAGCGCAAUCAAUUGACUUUUAAUUGAAGUCCUGAAUGAAAGAAUGUAUGGGGGGUGACUUUAUUGACGAUAAGUGGUGAACUUAAUUAGUAAGUGCAAAAGCUUACAUUAAAACAUCAGACGAGAAGACCCUAGAAAUUUUAAAGAACAAGAUGUUUGCGCACUUUUUGUUGGGGCAACAAGGUAACAUGUAAUUUACUUGUAAACAAGAAAAAUAUUUUUAGGAAGAUGAAAUUACUCUAGGGAUAACAGCAUAAUUCAUAAAGUUUAUGACCUCGAUGUUGGACUAGGGCGUAGUUGUUUAAAAGAUCUCCUACCUUGCUCUGUUCGAGCA